rnacentral:misc_RNA from 1 species
ACACUUUUGACUCCAAUACUUGCGUCUAUUAAGUUUUGCUGAACUGCCUAUAGCUUAUUAAAAGCAUUUCCCUGUCUGAGUAUGAGCCAUCUAUAUGAUCAUGUAGUACUCUAUUGGCUGUUUUGGAUCAUUUCAUGAUCGACUCCAUAGAGUUAUGGCUGCGAAAAAUAAUCCUUUGAAAAUCUAUAAGGAGGUAGAUAUUUGACCAUAGCUUAAGUGGCUCUUUGAUGGAUUGGAUGCCUAG